rnacentral:rRNA from 1 species
CAGUCGCCACGGUAAUACGAAGGGGGCUAGCGUUGUUCGGAAUUACUGGGCGUAAAGCGCACGUAGGCGGAUAUUUAAGUCAGGGGUGAAAUCCCAGAGCUCAACUCUGGAACUGCCUUUGAUACUGGGUAUCUUGAGUAUGGAAGAGGUGAGUGGAAUUCCGAGUGUAGAGGUGAAAUUCGUAGAUAUUCGGAGGAACACCAGUGGCGAAGGCGGCUCACUGGUCCAUUACUGACGCUGAGGUGCGAAAGCGUGGGGAGCAAACAGGAUUAGAGACCCCUGUAGUCCCUGUCUCUUAUAC